AUUGAACGCUGGCGGCAUGCCUUACACAUGCAAGUCGAACGGUAACGGGUCCUUCGGGAUGCCGACGAGUGGCGAACGGGUGAGUAAUAUAUCGGAACGUGCCCAGUAGUGGGGGAUAACUGCUCGAAAGAGCAGCUAAUACCGCAUACGACCCGAGGGUGAAAGGGGGGGAUCGCAAGACCUCUCGCUAUUGGAGCGGCCGAUAUCAGAUUAGCUAGUUGGUGGGGUAAAGGCCUACCAAGGCUACGAUCUGUAGUUGGUCUGAGAGGACGACCAGCCACACUGGGACUGAGACACGGCCCAGACUCCUACGGGAGGCAGCAGUGGGGAAUUUUGGACAAUGGGCGCAAGCCUGAUCCAGCAAUGCCGCGUGCAGGAAGAAGGCC
rnacentral:rRNA from 1 species